ensembl:snRNA U6 U6 spliceosomal RNA
UAGCUUUGACAGCAAAUAUACUAAAAUUGGAGCAGUGCAAAGACAAUUAGCAUGGUCUCUGCACAAGGAAAACAUACAGAUUUGAAGUAGUAGAUGUAAGUUUA